rnacentral:rRNA from 1 species
UGGGGAAUAUUGGACAAUGGGCGAAAGCCUGAUCCAGCCAUGCCGCGUGUGUGAAGAAGGUCUUCGGAUUGUAAAGCACUUUAAGUUGGGAGGAAGGGCAGUAAAUUAAUACUUUGCUGUUUUGACGUUACCGACAGAAUAAGCACCGGCUAACUCUGUGCCAGCAGCCGCGGUAAUACAGAGGGUGCGAGCGUUAAUCGGAAUUACUGGGCGUAAAGCGCGCGUAGGUGGUUCGUUAAGUUGGAUGUGAAAUCCCCGGGCUCAACCUGGGAACUGCAUUCAAAACUGACGAGCUAGAGUAUGGUAGAGGGUGGUGGAAUUUCCUGUGUAGCGGUGAAAUGCGUAGAUAUAGGAAGGAACACCAGUGGCGAAGGCGACCACCUGGACUGAUACUGACACUGAGGUGCGAAAGCGUGGGGAGCAAACAGGAUUAGAUACCCCAGUAGUCCCUGAGCGGGCUGGCAAGGCGCAU